rnacentral:rRNA from 1 species
UACGUAGGGUGCGGGCGUUAAUCGGAAUUACUGGGCGUAAAGCGUGCGCAGGCGGUUCGUUGUGUCGGCGGUGAAAGCCCCGGGCUCAACCUGGGAAUGGCCGUUGAAACUGGCGAACUGGAGUGUGGCAGAGGGGGGUGGAAUUCCGCGUGUAGCAGUGAAAUGCGUAGAGAUGCGGAGGAACACCGAUGGCGAAGGCAGCCCCCUGGGCUGACACUGACGCUCAGGCACGAAAGCGUGGGGAGCAAACAGG